rnacentral:lncRNA from 1 species
AACUAGACAGAACUUUAAGCUCAGGUUUGCCUCAGUUCAUAUAAACAAACAGAAUGCCUACUCUCCUGAAUGGGGGAGGUCCAGAAAAGGAUAUCAUGUCCCAGUGAUGUGGGAAGGUUUUCUGGUGGUUUGUGGCCAAGGACCACCGUCCUACAGCAAGGUGCUACAGCAAAUCAGCCACUCUGAUUUGGCAUCUCCUUUGGCUGAGUUACAGAGCAGAGUUUCUGAGGCUCAGAAUUAUAAUCCUGCUUCCUCCCCUUUGUCUAUGGCUAUUCUCAAGGAUAUUUAUUUCUUCUGGCACUCCUGAUGCUUCCCAUUGCUUGAAGCAGGAACACACCUCAUGCCGGGGAACCAAAGAUGAUUCGUUAUGAUGCCUGGCCAGCACCUGUUUAAAAAUCUCACAUUAAUAGAGAAAGAUUUUAUAUAUCACUAAACUUAGAAUCCCUUCCAGUUCAACAGACUCCAAAAAUAUCUGCCACAUUUGUAUUAAGAUUAUGUGUAGGACUCUGAUCUUAAUAUCCCUAUGUUCCAUGCUUUUGGAUAAAAAGUUUUUGUGGGAUUUUAGAUUUUUGUUUUGAUUUAAAAUGUUUUCUUUCACCAUUUUACCUGACCCAUUCUGCUACACGUGAUAAUAUGUAUUAUGAAUAUUUACUUCCCUUUCUAAAGAGGAGAUGAAUAAAAUUGGGGCAUUACCCCUUGUCAGCACCUGCAGAGCUGGCCAGAUUUCUCAAGCCAAGAGCAGAGUUGAACACUGAAGCAGAGCAGAUACACAUGUACUGAGUGCACUAACCAAGCAGUUAAGUACAGAAGAUGAACUGCCAAAGCCAAUCUGCUGCUCCAUGUGAAAAGAGGAGCGGAGUCCUA